rnacentral:rRNA from 1 species
UACGUAGGGUGCGAGCGUUAAUCGGAAUACUGGGCGUAAAGCGUGCGCAGGCGGUUAUAUAAGACAGUUGUGAAAUCCCCGGGCUCAACCUGGGAAUUGCAUUCGAGACUGUGUAGCUAGGGUGCGGAAGAGGGAAGCGGAAUUUCCGGUGUAGCGGUGAAAUGCGUAGAUAUCGGAAGGAACAUCAGUGGCGAAAAGCGGCUUCCUGGUCC